rnacentral:tRNA from 1 species
GCGCUUGUGGCCCAAUGGAUAAGACAUCUCACUUUCUAAUCAGACGUCGUGGGUUCGAGUCCCACCAGGCGUG